rnacentral:rRNA from 1 species
UACGAAGGGGACUAGCGUUGUUCGGAAUUACUGGGCGUAAAGCGCACGUAGGCGGAUUUGUUAGUCAGGGGUGAAAUCCCGGAGCUCAACUUCGGAAUUGCCUUUGAUACUGUUGGUCUCGAGUCCGGAAGAGGUGGGUGGAAUUCCUAGUGUAGAGGUGAAAUUCGUAGAUAUUAGGAAGAACACCGGUGGCGAAGGCGGCCCACUGGUCCGGUACUGACGCUGAGGUGCGAAAGCGUGGGGAGCAAACAGG